CAGAGGGUGCAAGCGUUAAUCGGAAUUACUGGGCGUAAAGCGUGCGUAGUCGGUUAUCUAAGUCGGGUGUGAAAUCCCCGGGCUCAACCUGGGAAUUGCAUUCGAUACUGGAUAGCUAGAGUUCGGCAGAGGGAAGCGGAAUUUCGGGUGUAGCGGUGAAAUGCGUAGAUAUCCGAAGGAACAUCAGUGGCGAAAGCGACUUCCUGGACCAGAACUGACGAUCAGGCACGAAAGCGUGGGGAGCAAACAGGAUUAGAUACCCUGGUAGUCCACGCCAUAAACGAUGACAACUAGACGUUGGGAGGGUAAGCCUCACAGUGUCGCAGCUAACGCGUUAAGUUGUCCGCCUGGGGAGUACGGCCGCAAGGUUG
rnacentral:rRNA from 1 species